rnacentral:tRNA from 1 species
GGGGAUGUAGCUCAGUGGUAGAGCACUUGUGUAGAAUGUGCAAGGUCCUGGGUUCAAUCUCCAGUACCACCC